GAUUUGCUUCCCGAGCUCCUCUUCAUUUCACAUAGCACUCCCAAUCAUUCAUAGGCGGCUACUCCUCACUCAUCCUUUCCAAAUCCUUCCUCGACGGCACCUCUCGCCCUUGCACCGCCAUUGCCCAAACCUCCGUCACACCCCUUCCCCAAUCUCUCCAUCACACCCAUUGCCUAAUCUCUCCGUCACAAACCCAAUUCUCGCCUUUUCAGUUUCUUAGCCUCGGACAAAUUCAGGUUUGGACGAGUCGGAAAGAACACGAAACUUGGAUUAACGCUGUGCAGAGCAGGUUCGGCUCUUGCCUUUGGAGGUCUCGACGCCGAUGAAUUUCGCCACCCUCUUGAUGUUGCCGUUUUCUGUCGCUGCUCGCUGAAGCUCGUCAGCGUCGUCACCGCUUUUACCUCUUCUUCUCGUCGCCGUUGGUUCAAAGACAGAGAUGGCAUGCGUUCUGUGAAGGAACUCCAGCCUGCUGAUACUGAUGAAAUCUAUUCUCAGGCAGAGAUUUCAUUGCUCCUUGCAAAUGCUAAGGUACAUCAAAAUGUGUACAUCGAGAGUGUUUGGAUCACUGGCAUGCGGUUAAGGUUCUAAGCUAUGAGCAUCAUAUUCUAAGACUAAGUUUGGGCAGAACAGAAGAGCAUUGAGUGUGAUCAAUCAGAAUCUAGUGCAAGGAGGUGUUUAAAAGGGCUAUAAUGCAGAAUGGGCCACCUGAGCAUUUUGCUUUACUGACAGUUCUAGAAUUCAUCAAACCUCAGUGAGGGAGAAAGAUUCAAUAUACACAGUGAAAGUCUGAACUCCUUUUCUGAUCAUGGGUGGCAAGAUUAUUGUACUACUUCAACCAUUUUCACACAUAUCAACAUCACAGCAGAGGACAGUUCCCCACACCGUCGAGGAGGAUGACCAAGGUGCACCGUAUAGGCUACAUCAGGGGAGAACACUGCCUCGAUAACCUGAAUGACUAGCUGAGGUUUCUGCGGCGCGAUGACCCGCAAACUCGUGAUGAGUUCAAGCAGGUGCGCAAAAUGGAACAAGGCUUCCAAGGAUUUGAUUCCGAUCAUUGAGCACUACCAGGAGGAUCAAAAUUUGCUUUUGAAUGCAGUGUAGGUUUUGGUGCUCCUUACAAUUCCAAUCAAACCAGGUUCCACGGAUAUUCGGCAGCAGCUUGAGUAUCUGUGGAGAUUGAAGUCUGUAGUGACGAGUAGUGAUAUAUGUGCUGUGGUAGUGUCAUUUCUAAAAAAAGACCACUUUGGAAUGGGUGAUGCCGACAGUGCACUAGAUCGCAUGUGGCAGAGGAAGAAAGCCGAUAAGAUGGAUACGGGAGAUUUGUUUUAUGAGGUUGAUCACUGCUAAAUCCAAGAGAAAAAAGUAAAGGUAAAAUGGUAGAAUCUUUUGCAAUGUAAUCUAUUCUAAAUGCAAGCUACUUACAUGAAUUAUGCAAUUCUAGUUAUUAUCUGCAUAUAUAUAUAUAGCUUACAUGUGGUUAAAUUGCUUCAUAUCUUCAAGGAAUCAUAUAUGUAUAAUUAAGGCCAAAUCAUAUUAAAAUUUAUUAUUGGGAUAAUUUUGUCUCCUUAUCUAUUUAUUUAACUAAAAGGACUUUCUUUCUUUUUUUUUUCUCUUUUUUAUUAUUAUUAUAAACAUAUAUCAAUGCACAUGGUGUUUUAGUUUAAUUUGGUUUCACAUGAGCAUGUUCCCAAGUUUUUGAUUAUUCUUAUUAAUUUUGAUUCUUUCUUAUCAACCCAUGUUCUCAUGUUUUCCCACACUUAGUGGAUAAACAAUCUCCUAUCUUAAACUAACUAAGGAUUCAACUUGGAAUUUUUAAUUUGUUUUUUUGCUUAAGGCUAGUGAUGUGGUUAUAGAACAGAAGGGGAUUAAAAGAGUUCAAGGGGGCUAACAAGGGUGAUGGAGGUAGGCUUAUUUGGGAUAAGUGAGGGAAAAUUUAAAUAAUGGCCUCAAUCAUAUGUGGGUAUGUAUUUACAUUCUAUAUUGGACAUAUAGAUUGGAACAAAGUAAAGAUUACAAGCAUAGAAAAGAAGUGCGAAACACACAUGAAUAAAAUUUAUGGUUGGAUGUAACCGUAUAAUUAAGCUAAAAACUCACAGGUUGUGUGUUCUUUGGCUCAGAAAUUAUAUAUCAGUUAUGUAUGUCAUGCAAGUAAAAAUCAAGAGUUUUCAUUCAACUCAAUGUGAAUUUUAAGGUGGUUCUUAAAAUCUUAGUGUUCUUCCUUGAAGAAAUGUUAACUAACUCACAUUUGUUGCUAUAUAUAUACAAAGUGUGUGGAUUGUUUUGAUUCUGUUACACUAAAGUUUCUAGUUUAUUCUUUUAUUUUCAAUUAAACCAACUUAUCAUAUGCUAAAAGGGUAAACUAUACUAAUUAAUCCACAUAUUCUAUAAUUAAUAAGCUAAAAAUGCAAAUUAAGCUAAAUAUCUAAGAUAUAUAAAGUCCAAAGUGCAAAAUGCAAAAAUAAAAUAAAAAUACAGUAAGCAAAAGAAAAAUGUGCAAGUACUAAAAGACAAAAUAAGAUACGAUAAAGUAAAAAUAAAAUAAAGUACAGAAAAAUAAUCAAAAUAAGAUAGAAGAGUCUGUAGUGGUUCACCAAAAAGAUUCGCCAGAGAUGGCGACCUCCCCACACUUAAAUUAUAGCAUCGUUAUCGAUGCUCUAUCAAGCUGGGUGUGAAGAAAUGUCAUCUCCGGAAGGAUGUGCUGGUGCUGUCUGUAUGGGCUCUGUCAGUAAAAGUGUUUGAGGUUCUGCUUGUAUAGGUGCCUGUGGGUCCGCUGGCUGUGUUUGCUGAGGCUCCUCAUGCUGGGGUUCUGCUUGCUCAGCCUCUGUUCGUGCAUCCUCUUUUUGGUCAUCCGCCUCCUCCUCAGAUGGCUCAGAUGGUGUGUCAGGCUCGGAGGGAUGUUAGUGUGGCCGGACCGGAUCAUCAACUUCAAAUGCUCAUAGUGGCGCUUGCUGCGACGCUCAAACCGCUCAUAUCGUCGCUGGUUGCGGCGUUCCAUCUGGUCCAGGCGCUCGAUUAGGCGGUGCACAAGUUGGUAGACGGGCUCGGGAUCAGGUGAUGGUGCAGUGGUGGUAGCUGGGUAGUAGAUGCUGAAGGGGCAACGGAAGAUGUAGCUGCCUCAGCGGAGGCAGUGUGGAAAGGCGGCCUGUAACCCAAGGUUAGGAACUUCCUGCUGUGAGGGAUAAUCUUCUUGCAGUCUGCAGCUGUUGGCUUCUCAUACUCCCAGGGCAUGUCAGCUCGGCGGCCUAACUGAGUGAUCAGAUAAGGGAAAGGGAGAGUGCCUCUAACAUGGACCCUGACCAUAUAAUACCUAAUGAAACGUGGAAGAUAUAGGUCCUGACCCUCCAUCACACAUCAGAUGAGGGUGAUCAUAACAGCGGGCACCUCUGUCUCAUGAGUGCUCGGCAUAAUGUAAUUACUCAGAAUCUGCUUUCAAAGCCGAGCCUCAUCAUUCAAAUAUAUCAGUUUGAUUCCUUUAGGCACCACUAUAUUCUUUCUUAUGACCCAUUGGGCAGCAGGAUCAAAGGCUAUUCUCUGCUUUACUACGUCCAUUCAAAUCGCAUAAAUCUCAUAUCCUAUUCAGUCUUUUGAUAAUUGUCAGGCUGAUCUGACUUAGGCGAAAGUUGGAGGAUGUCUUCAACAGCUUCCUUAGUGAUCAAGAUCUGCUUCCCUUUGAAGUGCACUGCAUCCAGGGAAGUCAUGAAAAAGCAAGCAGAAAAAGCCAAUAGUCCUUAAAACCAAAAGGCAAGAGUAAAAAAGAUCCAAGGCUUUGAUCAUAAAUGGAUGGAGGGUCCAAGAAAAUAAAAUUCAGGCCUAAGCGGCUAAAUCAAGUUGUCCCUAAUUAUGUGCUUGUGUCAUGAAGGUCCAAGUGAAAAGUUUGAGACAGUGGUUAAAGUCGUGAUCCAAAGCAAAAAGAGUGUGUUUAAGAGCUCUGGACACCUCUAACUAGGGACUUUAGCAAAGUUGAGUCACAAUCUGAAAAGGUUCACCAGUCAUGUGUUUGUAGCAUUUAUGUAUCUGGUGGUAAUAUUGAAAAAUAAAGUGCAUAGGGUCACGGCCAAGAUUCAUAAAAGUAGUAGUGUUUAAGAAUCAUCAUACUUAACUAGGAGAAUUAAUAACACUAUCUGAACUCUGAGUUCUUAUGGAUGCCAAUUAUUCUAAAUUUCUAAGGAUAAAGUGAAAUGCCAAAACUGUUCAGAAGGAAAAAGCUACAAGUUCUGCUCAUCUAAUUUGAACUAAUAUUCAUUGAUAUUUUGAGACUUAUAGUAUAUUCUCUUUUUUUUAUCCCAUUUGAUUUUCAGUUGCUUGCGGACAAACAACAAUUUAAGUUUGGUGUUGUGAUGAGCGGAUAAUUUAUACGUUUUUUGGCAUUGUUUUUAGGUAGUCUUUAGUAGGAUCUAGGUAUUUUUAGGAAUGUUUUUAUUAGUUUAUGCAAAAUUCACAUUUCUGGAUUUUACUAUGAGUUUGUGUGUUUUUCUGU